rnacentral:lncRNA from 1 species
UUUCAGUCAAAACCCUAAUGGACAGCUUAAACUCUAAGCAGCCCAUGGAACCUUCUGGAUAAGGCCAUGGACGAAAAUAUAAUGGGCUUCCAUCAUAAUUUCGUUCACUCCUUGAUCCUUUAGCAUUCCUUAGCCCAAUAACUCAAUUAUCCAAUAAUUGCAGUCCAGUCCCCUGAAUUUAAUUAAUCUCUUUUAGCCACAAAAUUAAUUAUCAAUUAAUUCUUGACUAAUAUUAAUUAAACAAUAUGAUUUCUCCUUUAAUAUAUUAUUCUCAUAAUAUAUUAAUAAAUCAUAUUUAAACCUUUCUCUCCUUAAAUCAUCCUACAUAUUGCUAUGGUGAAGGCAACCCAAAAGGACCAUGCUCAUAAUCGGGUCAAGUACAUACCAAAAUAGUUAUGGACUUAGACACUAAUCCAACAGUCUCCCACUUGGAUAAGUCUAAUAACUAUUUUCCGUAUGACUUCAAAACCUGAUCAGCAAUCGUAGCUUUCAAAAGCCGCUGUCAACUCUGAUCUUAUCAGAUAGCGUGUCCUCUAGAUAAGGGAUUAUAUAUUCCUCCAUUCUCAAGAUAUCGUAUAGACAAAAGACAUGAAUUUCAAUCAUUCUCUCUAUACUUUUUCCCGACUUCCGAUUCAUGACGACUGAUAACAGACUACAAUUGAACACAUCAACUUAGUCCCGGCUUGGCCAAGCGCUUAGAUGUCAUCACUAAAUCAUCGAGAGGCCCACAUAUAUCGCUUUUAUCCCACUUUGGGUAAAAGGAAUGGAUAAACUUCGACUCAAAUGCUCGCUUGCAUUUACUGAUCGAAUCACACACAACAAUAAGUUUUAUAACACCAAGUUACUGGUGCGUUUACUUAUUAUCAAUGUGUAACUGACCAACAAAUAACAACUCACACGUCUCGGUUUCAAGAAUAUACAAUAUUAUCGUCUCACUAAUCACUCGUGAUAAAACCGUGAAGUGAUCCAAGUGAGCGUGGGUUUAAUCCAAUACUUUAAUCUUAUCAAAGCACUCACGAACUCUGCAGCAAACUUGUGCCAUGUCUAAACACUUCAGACAAUCUACAGACAGAUUCAUGACAGUCUUUAUUCAUACCUACUCCCAACGUAUGACCAACUGUGGAUGUUUGAAUAACCUAGUUAUUCUGGAAGUCAAAACAUGCAAAUUGAAACAUGACAACAAUACUUAAUCCUAUAUGGCCCCAAACUUGUGAGAGUAAAUAAAACCCUUCUAUUUAUCCACCAUAUUGAUUACUCAUUAUUUAUCAUUUAAUGUUUCGGAUAAUCAACUCAUUACUUGAAUUAUACCAACAAUUGUCCCAUGCUCUAAACAUGCACACUUUGUUUCCUAUGGUCCAUGCUUUGUGAAAUAGAUCACCUGAAAACUUUUCCAAUGAUGCUCAUUUCACAAUUCCUUAAUCCUAAUUAUUAGUGUAGGAACACAAGGUUCUUGCCACUACUAGAAUAUGCUAGAUUCUAACAUUUUACGCAACGAUCCUUUCGUAAAGUCAUAGCACAAAAAUCACCAAGACUUGGCUAAUGAAAUUACAAAGUGCUUUCUUAGAAAUUGUUACAAGACAAUUCCAUAGAUGUGAAGUCUCACAUUCAAAGUACAUUCCUUUGAACAUCCUUCUUGCAUAAAAGUUUCUAAUCUAGGCAUAGACUCUCAAUAUCCAACUCCCAAUAUGGAAACAUUUCCACAUUUGCCAUAUGACAACUCAUUCUUAAUAGAAUCUUAUCUAUUCGUAAUAAUGUCGAUAUGGUCCAUCCAAUACCAUACUUUCAACUACUUACAAGCGAUCAAUCCUCAGCGAACUUUGGAUCAUCCUUUGAUAGUUGUUAAAUUCUUUCAGUCAAAACCAAUUCUAUUCCUUUUUCCCUCUUAAUGCGCUAGACAUUUGGAAAAUUUUAGAAUGGUAAAAUACUAUAGCAUUUACAAUCGAUCCUAUACCCGAAGCGUAUGGGACACGAUGCAUAAUGUCUUACAUAAAGAUAUGAUACUUUACCAAUCUUUUGCCAUAAUAUUUUAUGUGUCAUGUUCUCACAAUUCGAACUAUGAAGAGGGAUGCCGUAAUCAUAAUCGAAAUUUGAGAACACACAAUGUAUCCUUUGACUGAAGAUAUUAAAAUUUCUCAAUCUAAGCUUUAGAUUUUGAAACGAAGUAUAAUAUUCUCUCCCUUAAUUAUAGCAAAACAACUUUUCAACCCAUGCAACUUUGCAAAUUGAAUCUUUGUUUUUCUAUAAUUAAUAUUGCUAACUUGCAAUACUCGCCAUAAUAAUCAUACAAGCAUAACACUUAUGCUCCCACUAUCAUGAUGAUUAUUAUCAUAUAAGCAUAACACUUAUGCUCCCACUAGCUUUGACAUGUAUUCAGAAAACAAAUGAACUUUCAGAAAACAAUGCCUAUUGAAUUUCUGAAAUUCAUAUUUCUAAUACCAGAUGCUUCGAUAAGCCUUUAUCUAGGCUUCUUAACCUUAUACACCUUUGUCUUAGAUAGCUCAUAUGUGUGUUUAAACAAUUCAGAACUUAUGUUACUAAGUUCCAAAUGUUGAAACUAAUUGCCAAAUCUCACAAUUCGAACUAUGGAAAGGGAUGCCGUAACCAUAAUCGAAUUUGAGAAUACAAUUUUCACAAUUGCUAUCUUCUUAAAAUCUCUCUUAGUGAAAGCAUUUCCUCACAGUCAUUUUCAUGAAGGAGGGAAUCUUAUGACACUUAGAUUUUAUGGUGUAUGAGUUCCUAUCCAUGUGAAUUUGCCAAAACCAAAGUUUGUGACAAAUUCAACCUCAUAUGGACUGAACUUUCUUAAUCUUGAUUUCUUUCCUUAUGGUAACACGAGUGCCCACCAUGUCUUCCAAGUAGUUUAGUAAUUUGUCCUUACAUAUGAAUGUACUUUCCAUCGACUAAGGCUCUAGUAUGCAUUUAAAUGAGAACUCAUAGAACUCACAUACGCAAUUAACUCAAUUGGAAUGGCACAAAAACAAAAUAAUGUCAGCACGAUAGGUUGUAAACCUCAAGUCGUGUGCUAGUGAUGAUCGAUAAGGUAUAUUCUUGAUUUGUUCUUGAAACCUUUCAAGACCAUUAAGACUCCCACUGACUCCUUGACAUAUAAGAUUCUCUUGUCAAGAAACAUUUCUUGACAAAGCAAAUAUUCAAGAGUUAGUGUAGUUCUUAUCAAGACAAAACACUUCACAUAAUUGGUCCUAGUUGGUCUUUGUCUUAUCCAAGACAGCACAACUUACCAAUUUCAAAUGUGCAAGAAUAAGAAAACUUUUCCAAAUUCCACAUUUGAUGAGUGUUAUAAACCUACUUAAGACUUUUCACUCAAUGUCACAAUCUUGACUCUAAGACUUGAUAUUGGAACGAAGUAUGAUUGACUUAUUGAUUUAACCAUUUCUACAAUUCUCGAUUCCUCUUCUUAGACAUGCAAAUGCACUAAGACUCACUUAGAGGAUCAAUUGAGAUAUGGUUCUUAAUCAUUAAGACUUCAUCAUAAAACACAAUAAAAGGUACUCUCCCUUCUUCUUAGAAUGGAGAAACUUUUAUCUUUCUGCCUUCUUGAUUCUUCUUAUUCGUUCUGCUAUUGAUUGAAACUAUUUCAGUUAACUCAGAAUUAUACUCAAUCUUAUAAGUAUAACCAUAUUUACUAAACUUUAGUAAAUCAUGACGAAUAUCUUUGUCACUCUUGUGGUAGACUUGAUCAACGUACGACCUAGUGUACUCGAUCUCCUAGUCCUUCAAUUGACACUUUGCCAAAGAAUUAGUCUAAGUUUCCCAAAUGUGAAAGUUUUUCAUUCAUCAUACAAUACACAUUGCAUGAUUCCAAGUUUCUGUCCAAUUGAAACUUGGGCGAUGAGAAACUCUCCCUAUUUGGUAAACUUUUGACAUUUCCACAAAUAACAUAAUUAAGAAUCAAAUCCAUUAUUGCUAAUAAUAGAAACAUUCAAACAUCAAUUUUUCAUACAUGCCAUUGCAAGGAUAAAUAAAUAAGAUAAAAUCAAAAUUCAUUUUAUUGCGGAAAAAAUUUGUCCUUACAAUGCAAUUCAAUUGAAAAACUAUGUUAUUACAUAUUUCUUAACAAUCUAUUCUAACUCCAAGUAGUAGCUCAAGAAUCCAUUCUUCAAGUAAUGCGAUCGAAAUCCAUUUCUUCAUGAUUAGAUUCAGCUCACUUCUUCCCUCAAGCUUCCUCUCUUUUCUUCGAUCCUACAAAACAUCAAAAUGUAAUCUUAUCACAUCAUGUAUUAAGAAUCUAGAAUAGGAACUCAAAAGAGUUAGAUAAUGGAUUUUACCUGAAGCAGAGCCAUACGUCUUGACUCUCCCAUCUCUUAGAUCUCUCAGGUAGUUAGGGCAGCUUCGUCUCCAAUGCCCCUUCUCUUGGCAAUAAAAGCAAAUGGACUCCUUUGGCACAGCACAUCGGACAAUCACAGACUUAGUUCUUUCUGGACUUCCAAUGUUGCCAGUGUCCAUUGAAGUUUGGGAGUUUGAUUCACCAGACAAAUUUGCUUGACCAGCACGCCAAAUCAUUGCUGAUUCAGCAGCUAUAAGCAAAUAGGUGAGAUCAAUUAGGGUCACGUCGUGGUCCAUCAUAUAGUACUCUCUAACGAACUCACUAUAUGAUUCAGGAAGUGACUGAAGAACCCAGUCAACAGCCAACUCACUUGAAAUCUCGACACCCAACAUGCUUAACCUAUCAAUGUGUGACUUCAUCUCUAAGACGUGUGCACACACAGGUUUCCCAUCUUCGUGUUUACUUGCCAAAAGGGCUUGAGUGAGCUUGAACUUUUCAAGCCUUUGAACUUGUGGGUCAGGGAGAACAAUUGGAGGAGGUGGAGGAAGUGAAGCAUGACUCUCAUUUCCUUGAUCGUAUCUCGGAACGUCAUCUUCAUUUGGAAAGCUUGUUCCAAAGGAUUUGGGAAGACCAUUGUAAGAUUCAGACAUCUACAAAACGGGAGAAAAUUCAAGUUAUGUUGAUUAGAAUUCUUGAUGUAACACCCAAAUGAAACAUCAAGCUAGGAUCCAACACAAUAUUCUACAACCUAGAAAAGGGAUGCCGUAAUCUAGUUGCAAAAUAUUUGAAGGUAGGUAAAUGACGAUUUACCAAUUUCCACCAUGAAAAACGAAAAGGAAGAUUAAGUUUUAAAUGAAUUGAAACUCCUAGAUCUUUUGAGAUUCAUUGAACUUUUCAAUGGCAUGUUUAAUCUCGAUUAUGCCCUACUAUUUGUGACUGGGAUGCCGAGGAUCACAAACAAGGUGUGAAUAACCAUACGAAUCACGUGGUGCACCCAAUGCUACAAUCACCUAAUCAAUGUGCCGGUUAGCCACACACGCUCCAUUGAUCUAUGACAAACAUCGAGUCACCCUUCGCUACCAAUGUCAUCCCCAAAUUAGUGUGCCGGUUAACCACACACGCUCCACUAACGUUUGACAGGGGUACGAAGUGUAAUUCUAUGGAUUAGCAUACAAUUUCACAUUUUUCCUAAAGUAACUAUGAUUUGGGAAUUUGAAAAAGCAUUUAGUUACUUUGUACUUCAUUAUACUUAUAAUGGAAGGUUUCUGUCCUAUCCUACCCGUUCGGCUAACGACCCUCCACUAGUCAAGAGUGCGGUGGGUAAGAGUGGAUACCCAUUCAAUCGCCAUUUUAUAGGCAAUUUCCUUAAACACCCCUUAUAGACCAGCUUCGUGAAUGAGGCCUACUAACGGUAAGACUGACUGUUUACUCAUACAUAUAUAAUAUUAGACUUUUAAUGUCAUAUAUAGUAUAGGGUGUAUUUUACACUUUUAAAAUACUAGGUGGUUUAAUUUAGUAAAUUAUACUUUUAAUUUAAUUAAAUGUAAACCAAAACUUUAUGGGUUUAUUAAAUCACUUUUAAUUAUACACUUUAAUUAAUUAAUAAAACCAUAAGGGUGUGAUUUGAACUUUUCAAAUUACUAGGGUUUUAGAAUUUAACAUUUCAAAAUUAAACUUUUAAUCAACUUUUAAAUUCCAAAACUUGAGGGCAAGUUUUGAAACAUUUCAAAACAUUAGGGUUUAAAUAACAAAUAAUUCAAAUUAAACAAUUAAUUUCAUAAUUAUCUACAUUUGACCUAAUCUUAUUUUAGUCAUUAGAUAAUUACCAAAUAACUUUAAAUAAUCCAUAUUUAUCACAUAAACAACCAAUAUUUAAAAGAUUUGAAAUUAUCUAUUGUUUUGGCAAGGAUAAACAUAUAAUUAAGAUAAAAUUCGGAUUUUAACUUCAUAAAACAAUUUAAGCAUCAAAUCCAAGUCAAAACAGCAGCUAAAUCCCGAAAUACCCUCUGCCUGACGCACUGACUCGCCGAGUCAGACCUGGACUCGCCGAGUUGGGCCAACUCGCCGAGUCCAGAUACUGACUCGCCGAGUUGAGUCGGGCAGAGGCAAAAAACUCGUUUUUCAGUAAAUAAUUCAACAUAGCAUCACAUACAACAGAAACCAAUCAAGGCUCUGAUACCACUGAUGGGUUUUAGGCAUAAGAACAAUCCUAUGUGCUCAUACAAACCCUAAUGCUUGGAUCUAGGUUUCUCUAUUGUACAUGCUUUGAAUCCAAGACUAAUAAACUUAGAUCUAACAUAUUAUAAACUGAAUUAGGGUUUAUAGAAUUACCUUUGAUUGUUAUAUAGCAAUAACAAUCAAUUCCUUGCUUGGAUUGGCCUUAGAAAGCUUAGUGCCUCAAGUGCUGCACCUCUAAUGGAGUCACAAACACCAUAUACAACUUGGAUGAAGAGGAGAAGAAGGGAGGCUGCCGAAAAACGACUAGAAACCCUAGAGAAUCAGUUGUCCACGUUUUUGGAGCCUAAGGGGUCCUUUAUAUACUUGUGUGGGCUGCUAGGGUUUCAGUCAAAACCCUAAUGGACAGCUUAAACUCUAAGCAGCCCAUGGAACCUUCUGGAUAAGGCCAUGGACGAAAAUAUGAUGGGCUUCCAUCAUAAUUUCGUUCACCCCUUGAUCCUUUAGCAUUCCUUAGCCCAAUAACUCAAUUAUCCAAUAAUUGCAGUCCAGUCCCCUGAAUUUAAUUAAUCUCUUUUAGCCACAAAAUUAAUUAUCAAUUAAUUCUUGACUAAUAUUAAUUAAACAAUAUGAUUUCUCCUUUAAUAUAUUAUUCUCAUAAUAUAUUAAUAAAUCAUAUUUAAACCUUUUUCUCCUUAAAUCAUCCUACAUAUUGCUAUGGUGAAGGCAACCCAAAAGGACCAUGCUCAUAAUCGGGUCAAGUACAUACCAAAAUAGUUAUGGACUUAGACACUAAUCCAACAAAAAACUAUGCUUCUAUUAUUCCAUGUUUAAAC